rnacentral:rRNA from 1 species
AUUGAACGCUGGCGGCAGGCCUAACACAUGCAAGUCGAGCGGAUGAAGGGAGCUUGCUCCUGGAUUCAGCGGCGGACGGGUGAGUAAUGCCUAGGAAUCUGCCUGGUAGUGGGGGAUAACGUCCGGAAACGGGCGCUAAUACCGCAUCCACCCUGAGGGAGUUAGUGGGGGUUCUUCGGACCUCCCGCUAUUAGAUGAGCCUAGGUCGGAUUAGCUAGCUGGUGGGGUAAAGGCCUACCAAGGCGACGAUCCGUAACUGGUCUGAGAGGAUGAUCAGUCACACUGGAUCUGAGACACGGUCCAGACUCCUACGGGAGGCAGCAGUGGGGAAUAUUGGACAAUGGGCGAAAGCCUGAUCCAGCCAUGCCGCGUGUGUGAAGAAGGUCUUCGGAUUGUAAAGCGCUUUAAGUUGGGAGGAAGGGCAGUAAGUUAAUACCUUGCUGUUUUGACGUUACCAACAGAAUAAGCACCGGCUAACUUCGUG